rnacentral:rRNA from 1 species
CUGAAACAUCUUAGUACCCGGAGGAAGAGAAAGAAAAUUCGAUUCCCUUAGUAGCGGCGAGCGAAACGGGAAGAGCCCAAACCAACAAGCUUGCUUGUUGGGGUUGUAGGACACUCUAUACGGAGUUACAAAGGACGACAUUAGACGAAUCAUCUGGAAAGAUGAAUCAAAGAAGGUAAUAAUCCUGUAGUCGAAAAUGUUGUCUCUCUUGAGUGGAUCCUGAGUACGACGGAGCACGUGAAAUUCCGUCGGAAUCUGGGAGGACCAUCUCCUAAGGCUAAAUACUCUCUAGUGACCGAUAGUGAACCAGUACCGUGAGGGAAAGGUGAAAAGCACCCCGGAAGGGGAGUGAAAUAGAACCUGAAACCGUGUGCUUACAAGUAGUCAGAGCCCGUUAAUGGGUGAUGGCGUGCCUUUUGUAGAAUGAACCGGCGAGUUACGAUUUGAUGCAAGGUUAAGCAGUAAAUGUGGAGCCGUAGCGAAAGCGAGUCUGAAUAGGGCGUUUAGUAUUUGGUCGUAGACCCGAAACCAGGUGAUCUACCCUUGGUCAGGUUGAAGUUCAGGUAACACUGAAUGGAGGACCGAACCGACUUACGUUGAAAAGUGAGCGGAUGAACUGAGGGUAGCGGAGAAAUUCCAAUCGAACCUGGAGAUAGCUGGUUCUCUCCGAAAUAGCUUUAGGGCUAGCCUCAAGUGAUGAUUAUUGGAGGUAGAGCACUGUUUGGACGAGGGGCCCCUCUCGGGUUACCGAAUUCAGACAAACUCCGAAUGCCAAUUAAUUUAACUUGGGAGUCAGAACAUGGGUGAUAAGGUCCGUGUUCGAAAGGGAAACAGCCCAGACCACCAGCUAAGGUCCCAAAAUAUAUGUUAAGUGGAAAAGGAUGUGGCGUUGCCCAGACAACUAGGAUGUUGGCUUAGAAGCAGCCAUCAUUUAAAGAGUGCGUAAUAGCUCACUAGUCGAGUGACACUGCGCCGAAAAUGUACCGGGGCUAAACAUAUUACCGAAGCUGUGGAUUGUCCUUUGGACAAUGGUAGGAGAGCGUUCUAAGGGCGUUGAAGCAUGAUCGUAAGGACAUGUGGAGCGCUUAGAAGUGAGAAUGCCGGUGUGAGUAGCGAAAGACGGGUGAGAAUCCCGUCCACCGAUUGACUAAGGUUUCCAGAGGAAGGCUCGUCCGCUCUGGGUUAGUCGGGUCCUAAGCUGAGGCCGACAGGCGUAGGCGAUGGAUAACAGGUUGAUAUUCCUGUACCACCUAUAAUCGUUUUAAUCGAUGGGGGGACGCAGUAGGAUAGGCGAAGCGUGCGAUUGGAUUGCACGUCUAAGCAGUAAGGCUGAGUAUUAGGCAAAUCCGGUACUCGUUAAGGCUGAGCUGUGAUGGGGAGAAGACAUUGUGUCUUCGAGUCGUUGAUUUCACACUGCCGAGAAAAGCCUCUAGAUAGAAAAUAGGUGCCCGUACCGCAAACCGACACAGGUAGUCAAGAUGAGAAUUCUAAGGUGAGCGAGCGAACUCUCGUUAAGGAACUCGGCAAAAUGACCCCGUAACUUCGGGAGAAGGGGUGCUCUUUAGGGUUAACGCCCAGAAGAGCCGCAGUGAAUAGGCCCAAGCGACUGUUUAUCAAAAACACAGGUCUCUGCUAAACCGUAAGGUGAUGUAUAGGGGCUGACGCCUGCCCGGUGCUGGAAGGUUAAGAGGAGUGG